rnacentral:rRNA from 1 species
AUUGAACGCUGGCGGAAUGCUUUACACAUGCAAGUCGAACGGCAGCACGGACUUCGGUCUGGUGGCGAGUGGCGAACGGGUGAGUAAUACAUCGGAACGUGCCCAAUCGUGGGGGAUAACGUAGCGAAAGCUACGCUAAUACCGCAUACGAUCUAAGGAUGAAAGCGGGGGAUCGCAAGACCUUGCGCGAUUGGAGCGGCCGAUGGCAGAUUAGGUAGUUGGUAGGGUAAAGGCCUACCAAGCCGACGAUCUGUAGCUGGUCUGAGAGGAUGAUCAGCCACACUGGGACUGAGUCACGGCCCAGACUCCUACGGGAGGCAGCAGUGGGGAAUUUUGGACAAUGGACGCAAGUCUGAUCCAGCCAUUCCGCGUGCAGGAUGAAGGCCCUCGGGUUGUAAACUGCUUUUGUACAGAACGAAAAGGCUCUGGUUAAUACCUAGGGCUCAUGACGGUACUGUAAGAAUAAGCACCGGCUAACUACGUGCCAGCCGCCGCAGUAA